CCUACGGGGGGCUGCAGUAAGGAAUAUUGGUCAAUGGACGCAAGUCUGAACCAGCCAUGCCGCGUGGAGGAUGAAGGUCCUCUGGAUUGUAAACUUCUUUUAUUUGGGAAGAAACUCCCGAUUUCCAUCGGGAUUGACGGUACCAGAUGAAUAAGCACCGGCUAACUCCGUGCCAGCAGGCGCGGUAAUCAGGAGGGUGCCAGCGUUAUCCGGAUUAACGGGGUUUAAGGGGGGCAGGUAAGUGCGUGGUGAAAUCUCCGGGCUUAACCCGGAAACGGCCAUUGAUACUAUGUGUCUGGAAUACUCUGGAGGUGAGCGGAAUAUGUCAUGUAGCGGUGAAAUGCUUAGAUAUGACAUAGAACACCCAUUGCGAAGGCAGCUCACUACGGAAAUAUUGACGCUGAGGCACGAAAGCGUGGGGAUCAAACAGGAUUAGAUACCCGAGUAGUC
rnacentral:rRNA from 1 species